GCUGCCCAUAGAGGCAUUGCUGGAGUGGCUUCUCUGUCACAUGUGUAUCAAUACAUGGUAGAGGAGAGAUGAUAUAUCUAAGCUUAGUGUUAUGACUUAUGAACAUCUGAAUGAUUAGAAGCCUAACAUU
ensembl:snoRNA LOC120100445 small nucleolar RNA SNORA17